rnacentral:lncRNA from 1 species
GGAAAAUAUCUGUACUGCUAUUUUACUGUAUAUGUGUUUUGGCUCACCUUUGCAAACCAUUUUUGAGAGGAUUGGUCGAUAGAUUUGGAGAGUGUCUCAUUGUUGGAAUAAUUGAAUAUGUCGAAUCUUUUGAGUUAUUGUUUAAUCAUGGAAAAUAUUGUUAUUUGAGAUUGAGUGAUUUUUAGUUUGUACUAUUGUAUGUGAUUUUUGGAGACUAUGUAAUAUUGGAUUUUGGGAUUCUGUAAUUAGGAAAAUAGUCGGAUUUUGGGAUAAAAAGGGAUUGAAUCAAUAUUAUUUUAUUUAUCUUUAUGGUGUGAAAAUCUGGAUUAUCCCUCCAAACAAUUGAUAGGAUUUCCUUUUCUUAUCAAAAUCUUCAAUUCAAGUGGGUUGUUAUGGGGAGUUUCCAAUAAGUGGUAAGUUAAAAAAAUAAUAUUAUGAAAAAAAUUAAAAAUUAAAAUAUACUACUUCAUAAAAAAUAUGUUCCCCCCCCCCCCCCCCAAAUAUAGAUUUGUAGAAGACAAGAAAUAAGCAUCAUGUACAUAAAUAACGUACAAGGCCAAUAAGUUGACCUAGUAUUUUAUUGGGACUAGAAUUUCUCUUGUAGGGUUCGUCAAUGUGUGAGGCAAAAUAUUUUAUUUUGUAUUUAUUUUAAUUUUUUUGUGUUAUUUGGAGUGUUGGUAUGUGAAUUCACCCCUAUAGUCGUAAUUUAAAGAAGUUCUGGAGUCAAAUCUGCAUUAUUUGAAAGUUCUAAGAAUUUUAACUUAAAAUACAGGGAUGAAACUGCAUUUUUGUACUAUUUGUGCUUGAGCAAAGUCCUGAGCACCACUUUUGAUAGAUAUUCGCUUGCCCACCCUGCAAGCAAACUAGAGAGCGAUGAUUGGUUUCUCGCAAUUUGCAUAUCAGGAUUGAGAUAUAAUGUGCGGUGCAACUUUUUACCCUAAAUAGGUCAUUUUUGAAGAGUACAAGGCAAGGGGUUGUAAACUCAACAACUUUUACAUGAUUUAUUGAUUCGUAGACUGUAAUAUCCCGACUCUUAAUUACCUAUAGUUAUUUCAGAAAUAAAAACUUUUGUAAUUUAAUUGAAGGUAUUUAAUUCGUUAAUGGGGUUAAAUUGCAAGAUUAGUAACCUUUGAGUAAAUUAAGAGAACAUUUACAUAAAGUAAUUACUUAAAGGGUUGUAGGGGCUAAAGUGCAUUUGUUCUAAUUGAAACGGCAUAAAUAUCCUAAUGCGCGGCCGAAAUAAGAAAGAAAAAAGAUUAAGAGAAAAGAAAAGAAUGUGAUGAUGAUGUUAGAAAUGAUUUGGUUGGUAAAAAUUAUACUGGGUGUUUAUAUUGUGUAAAUAAGGGAGAGAACGGGAAGACUGCGAAAGAGGGAGGAGAGAGAACCAGAAGAGAAAGAGAAGGGAGACACAGAGAUAAAUCAGCAAGGGAAGAGGAAGCGAAAUUUAUGAGGUAAAUUCCAAAUUCUUUCUCCCACUUCCUGCUAAAUUCGGAUUGUUGAAUCUAUUAUGCAACCUCAUGGUUAGUGUAAAUAAUCUGUCAAGAUAUUGCAAAAUUUUAUCAUUUGAAAUCUUUUUUAGAAUUAAAUUUCGUGAUGCAUUGGAAAGACGAUUUUUUAAUGCACCGACCAGCAGUAGUAUUUUGGACACAACUCUCUCAUACUAUAUCCGUUUGAGGUGAUUCCACAAGUUUCAUUGAAGACCUUUAAAUACUACAAUGUUUCGUGAAAUAAGAGUUUUUCAGUUUCAAUUUAAAGGGUCGAAAACGACUGGAAUAAGAAGUAGAAAAAUUGAAUUAAAGUUUAUGUUUUUUAUUUCGAACCCACUGUCGGUAUUUUAGCCAUAACUUCUAACUUCUUCGUACGAAAACAUUUUUAGUUGAUUCAAGUGUUCGAGAUAACUAUUUUAAAUACUUACAAAUUUAUGGUGAAAUAUAUUUUUCAUUUGAAGUUUAAAUGGCUCAAAAUAAACUUGGAAGUUCGAGUCGAAAACUGAGUUACGUUAGGUUGUUAUCCAAACCCACUUUCGGUAUUUUAUUCAUAACGUCUUCAUACUAAAAUUUUUAGUUGAUUCAAGUGUCUGAUAAUAGCUAUUUUAAAUACCUACAAUUUUAUGUGAAAUCAUAUUUUUCAAUUCGAAUUUAAAUGGCCCAAACAGACUUGCCAGUUUGAACAAAAAAAACUGAUUCUUGAUUUUUCAGUUCAACGAUUGAAAAUUUUUCAACUAGUUUAGACUUUUUCAAAAAUUACUUUUAAUAACCAAACAAGCUAUGAUUAGCCUAGUAAUUAAAAAAAUAAAUAAAUUUGGUUACAUUAUAAUCCUUAAGUAAAGAUAUUAAAAUCGUAAUUAUUCAUAAAGGAAAUGUAUGUAUUCGAUCCGAUUAGCCUAGGAACACGACGAACGAGUUAACACACUUUUUUUUAAGCAAGCAAUGUAAGUACAUUAAUCUCUAAAGUGUAAAUUAAUGUUAUGCUAUUAAUAUAUGACGAAAUUAUGUUAUGUUACGCAAAUCAAAUCCAUGGCUUUAGAUGAGAAUGUUUUGAAAAUAUUUUUGGAUGUUAUGCCUAUAUACCAUAAUGUUCUACUUGCGAGAAAUUACUCGGCGGUAUGCCCCGACUCAAAGGGUUUUGUGGAAGCACGUUACAAACCGGACAAGGACGAGGUCUAUGCAGUAAUAUAUGUUUCAAGAAUUAUGUGACUGGUAUAGUCAAAAUACAAGUACAGCAUUGAAUUUGAACAAUUAUGCGAAAGAUUAAAUGUUUACUUUUUCCCACGCUAGAUAGUAUUGCAUCUACCAGGUAUUUUUAUGUUUUGAUAUGUAGAUAAAACUUAUCUUAAGAGAUUAUGUUAUAUGGCCUAAGCAAAUUGUAGGAAUAUUGUUUCUGACAAUAUUUAGGUGAUAAAGGAAAGCAAGUGGAGAGUAAAAUAUUACGCACAUGAACCGACAUGUAUAAGGAACAACGAAUUUAUGUACAGCCCACCUAGUAAGGACUAGGAAAGUUUCCGAUUGGUUUUUGAAUAUGUAAUGUAUUAGAAGUAUGUAUAAAUGUUAAGACAGUACAAUCUCUCUACCGUUAUGGCAUGUAUUUAAAUGAAUGAAUUUAAUAUUGAGUUUAUUGGACUCCAAAAAAUAAAUUUAUAUGUUUACGCUUCCGCAUUACGAAAAGUUUUUCAAGAAAGAACAAAAGUUUAAAGAAAAGAUUUUACGAAGGAAAAAUCAGAGUGACGACGCUGUCCGAGCCUGCGGGACCCACGUGGGCAUCGGGCUGGGUCGUUACAAAAUGGUAUAUCAAAGCCCAACGGUUAGAGACUUGUACUAUGUCUAAGGUAUUGGAUAAUUUGACGUUAAGUUGAUAUAUAAUAUUCGAGUUAACAACUAUAUGAUAACGAUAUAUUUUAUAAGGACUCCUCUAUAAUGUUGUUUAUGGUCGAGUCUGUAUGUGUUUGUAGACUCAUGCAACAAGAGGCGCGAUGGAGGACGUUAGGGGAAGAGGAAGGGCGCCAACCCCGACCCUAAUAGACAUGAGGAGGGAGCCUUGAAGGCUUAGUCAAUGCUCUUGGAGCACCAUAUCCUGCCUAGGGAUCCCAACGAUCCAGCCAAUUUCCAACUUAAUGCCCCCAACGUUGAGGGUAGAUGACUGAAUCCCGAGGGUGGCCAUGCAAUUGUUAAAAGAGAUCAACAGACCUUACAAAGUAUUUCCAUGCACGGAUGCACCAAAAGAUAGUUUCGCCGCCUAUAUGUUUGUCGGCGAGAGAGAGGCGCAUGAUGAUGGCCCUGGCUACUCACUUCGGAGAGGGAGCCCAACAUGACUUGGGAGAGGUUUUUUUAAGAGUUUUCGAUGAUAAGUAUUUCCACAAGCACUGAAGUCAAGAAACUCAAGGAGUUUAUUACUUUAGCAAGGAAUAUGACCGUGAUGACCGAUGAGGGCCAAGUUCACGGAAUUGGCGCGAUAUUCCCAUAUAUGGUCGACACGAGGAAAAAAGAAAGACAAGAAGUUUGAGGAUGGUUUAAGAGGGACAUCAAGAGUCGACGGAGUGCUCCGGUGCCUACGUAUGCAGAAGAAGAAGUGGUGAAUUUUGAAUGUGCACUCCAGCCUGAAAGGAGAGUAAGAGUAGUAAGUAGUAACGAAGAAUAUUAUCAAGACUGGGACAAUAAGAGGAAAGAGAAGCAUCCAAGGGACCAGGAGCGGUCAAAUGCAAAUUCAACCAGAAGCAACAUGGGAACAAAUGCGCAAGAACAACUAUCGUAUCAUCAUUCAAGGGAACUUAUCCACAGUGUUUCUAAGUGUGGGGGAAAGGGGGAAAAAAAAGUUGCACAAGGGGACCAUUUGUUUAUGCGGGGGAUGGCAGCUUGUAUUCAAUUGUGGCCAACAAGGCCAUAGAGCAAGGACUGUCUCAAAUCUAAUCUUCACAGGACUAUAGUCGUUCUACCCUCAACACAUCCCAACCUAUUCAAGACCCACUUCUAUUGCUGGAAGGCAGUCAACUUCAGCAAGGUAGAGUAUUUGCACUUGUACCGGGGGACGUACAAGCCCUCCAUCUGUGUCUAGGUAUACUCACUCGAUCAUACCCUGCUCACGUAUUGAUAGAUUCGGGUUCGACGACUUGUUGACACUGUUUGCCUACUAAAUUGUCUACUCCUCCCCAACCUUUGAACUUUGACUUACAUUGUUUCACACCUCAUCUGGAAACUCCAAAUAACCCCAAUUCACAUCUCUUUGGGGAUGUGAAAUUCAAGAUACAUGAUGUCCUCUUCAUGUAAACCAAUUCCCUUAGAUAUCCGACUUUUGUCAUUUUGGGAAUGGAUGGUUAGCUUCAAUUAUUGCCACCAUGAUUGUGUAUAAGAAAAUAAAUUUCAAAUUCCUAUGAAACCAAAGCUCUCAUUUGAGGAAAAGGUGUUGUCCCACCAACCUUACCUCAUUUUGUAUAGGCAUGAACGUCGCGGUUGCUUAGGAAGGGGAUGCCCAGUUACUUUGCAUCCAUCAUAGAUUGCACACCUAAAGAUAUCAACCCAUCGGAUAUCCAGUUUGUGAAAGAAUUCUCUAGACGUAUUUUUCAAUGAUCUGUUGAGUUUCCUCCCGAUAGAGAAUUGGAUUCACAAGACCUUAGUUCCGGGUGACUCUUCAUUUCAAGCACCAUACAAGAAUGAACACCCUGUUGACUUGAAAGAGUUUCAAACCUUCCAUUGCAAGAAUUUUAGAUAAGGGUUUAUUUAGCCGACCAAGUACCUUCCCCCUUGGGGUGCCCCAUUUUGUUUGUGAAGAAGAAAGAUCGGCUCCAUGAGAUUGUGCAUUUCGAUUAUAGAGUGGAAUCGAGUUCACAUAAGACAAGUAUCCUUUACCCCGGAUCGACGAUCUAUUUGACCAACUUCAGGGGGCUCAAUUAUUUUUCCUUUCUCAAGGAUCGAUCUUCUGUCAGGGUAACACCAACGGAGGAUCAAGCCAUAGGAUAUACCCAGAGCUCAUUCCGUACACGCUAUGACAACUACGCAUUCUAGUGAUGCCUUUAGAUUAAUUACCAAUACCCCCCGCAGCUUCCAUGGAUCUAAUGAUCGUGUAUUCAUCCUCACCUCGCCGAUUUUCCUUAUAGUCUUAUGGACGACAUCCUCAUUUAUUCCAAGAAUCCAUGAGGACCAGAGCGACAUCUACGGAUAGCUUGCAAACGUUAAGGGAGAGAAACUUUUUGGCAAAGUUCACAAAAAGUGCGAUUUUGGCUUUCGAGUAUUGCCUUUUUGGACAUAUAAUUUCAAAUGAGGAAUUCUAUCUCGCCGGUUAUUAUAGAACGAUUUGUGCAAGACUUUCACGACUUAGCAACACCAUGACAAAAUUGACCCAAAGCACGUACUUCAAUGGGAUGCGGAUUGUGAAGACAUUUUUCAAGAGUUGAAGAAACGGUUGAUAUCGGCUCCCUAUUCUGACUCUACUACUACCACAGAAGUGGGUGGCUUAAGUGAAUUUAGCGAUUAACCUUCUCGCUUAAGGGACUUGGGUGUGUUCUGAGUGCAGAAUGGAAAAGUGAUUGUUUAAUCUCUCGCGACAACUCAGCCUUAUGACAACAACUAGCCCACCCACGAUGUGGAAACUUGCAUCAGUGAUCUUUGCCCUCAAAAUCUCUGGCGUCAUUAUUUGUAUGGAGAGCCAGUGAGAUUUAAACCAAAUACAAAGCCUCAAGUACAUUUUCACCUAAAGACUCAACAUGCAGCUUCGACGUUGGUUGGAACUUCUGAAGGAACUAACGACUUACGAUUCUUUACCACCCCUCGUCCGGUAAAGCAAAUGUUGUAGGUCGGAUGUACUCAGUCAAAAUCUUCCGGUAAUUGGGCGUACUGAUCACAGCCCAACCAACACUACUUAAAGAUUUAAGGAAACUUGAUGUAGAGAUCGGGUCUCACAAGGAGGAUGCAUGUUUUUCGCUCUUACGGUGGAGCCCACUAUCAUUGAGACCGAUCAGGCACGCAAAUGGAUGAUAAUCAUUUGAGAAAAUUCCGUGACGAAGUGUAGUAAGGAAAAACCAAUGAUUUUUCUUUAUUAUAAGCCUUUUUAGAUUGAAGGACAGAUUAAUGUGUAACCGACGUUCGGCAGAAAUCAAGCAACAAAUUUAGAGCAAGCCCAUAUUUCGAAUUUGCCUUAUUUUUCCCACUCAGGAACCCAAGAUGUACCACAUUUGAGGGAAAUAUUUUGGUGGCCCAGCAUAAGAAAGCGUUGCCAAGGUAUGUCACGGUGCAUCAAUGUCAAAAAGUUAAAUGCGGAACACCAACGUCCAGCGGACUGCUGACUUCUCUUCCCAUGCCCGAAUGGAAAUGGGAACACAUUACGAUGGAUUUUGUCUAGGGUUACCACGUGUCGAGUAGAGGGAACGAUACAUUUUGGGUAAGUGUCCGACCGUCUCACCAAGUCGGUCACAUGUCUUAGCUAUGAAUAUUACGCACAAGAAUGGAUACAUGAUCAAUACAGAAAAACAACAUUUUAUAGUCGCUUUCCCCCAUAUCUUAGCAUCUUUUACAAAUAUUUUAUUAUUAAAAUUAUUGAUAUUUUCACACAGAGGUGUAAAAGUUUUUUGCAGGUAAAAGAGCAUUUAUAGAAAAAGAAGUCAAACUGCCUAACCCCGACAGGUCCAGAAAAGCCUAACCGUCCAGAAAAAGAUCAGAAGCCAAACAGCCUUAGUCCCGACCGGUCGGGAUGUAGAUCAGUGCCAAAAAUUGCUGACUAUUACCUCAGCCAUUCUCCAAGCAACCAAGCUCUGACACUUUUUAAGAUUACUAAUUUGUCAUGAUGAUGCCCAUCGUGGGCAUACAACAAGUAAACAAAUGGGGCUUCCUCUCUUCUCUCUUCUCACAGUCUCUCUCUCUCCCAAUAUAUAUAUAUAUAUAGAGAUAGAGAUAUAGAUAUAGAUAUAGAUAUAGAUAUAGAUAUUUAUAUUUGUAUACAUAUGUAUGUAUUUAUUUAUCUUUCUUUAUAAAUAGGAGGAGGGUUAUUAUUUCAAGGGAGUUUUUUUUGGUUAGGUUUUUUUGAGUCUCAAGUUUAUUUUUAGGAGCUCUCUCUCUCUAGUUUUUAAUUUAAGUUUUAAUUAAAUUAGAUUAGUCUAGUUUAAAGUUCAAACACUUGUCUUUUUAAUUUUGUCCAAUUCAAUAUUUUUUGUGAGUUCAAUUACUUAAAUUUCAUUGUCGCCUGGAUGGGCUGGUUAUCGCUUACUUUUGCUUAUUUACUUAAUUGUCCAGUAAUUCCCAAUUUACCAAAUUUUUUAUAAAAACAAAAACACGUUUAAUUUUACAAUCAAUAUGAUAGGCUGAAUAGUAUUGGUUUGGUCUAAUACAAAGUUUUAAUUCAAUCUUAGAUAAACUAGUUCUUCUUCUCUUGCACAAACUUAAAAGGUUAUUUUAAAUUAUCAAUAUUACACAAUCCUCAAAACUGUAAUGUAAUAAAUCUAAGAUUAUGUUAUCCAAGAUCCCUUGUUAUAACUAAACCUUAGAUCAAUGCUUCUAAGGGUUUGAAACUGUAAUUAAAAUUAUUAUCAAUUUUCAAACAUAAUUUUAGAUACAAGUAAUUUCAUUGCAAAACUUUCCAAUCACAUUCUUUACCUUGAAAAUUGAUUGAAGUACAAAAGAGGAGGAAGAUCCUAGGAAAUCUAAUGAACCGAAUAAAAAUUAAGUUAUUUAGAUCAUGCCAUUUUCUUUACUUUAUAGCUACUUUCAUUUACAAUCUUUCUAAAAAUCACAAAAAUCAUUUUUACAUUUUAUUUCAUUACUCACAACAACAAAAUACUCAAUCUUUCAAACUAGCCUCUGUGGAUACGAUCUCAACUUCGAGUAUUAUGCUGGGCACUGGUAAUGUUCCUACCUUGGGAACUUAAUUAAGAUAAUACAACAUACCCGAAAAGUUGAACAAGCAUUUUUGGCAACGUUGGCCGUGAGCUAAAACGCCAAGUUGAGUUCUUGUGAUUUUAUCACAAGUGUUGUAAUAUGUAAUUUCUUGCUUUCUUUUUUUACAACAAAAAUUUAAAAAUGAUCCUUUUGAUUUUAAUUUUGAAGUACCACAGUCCAUCAGAUUGGGAAAAUCAUCAUGUGUCUACAUAUUCACCUCCCACGUUGGUUGAGGACUUACGUACCUGAAUCCCAUCAUGACAUGACCUCAAUGGGCAAGGAACUUAUGGAUAAAAUUUUGGCAUAUCUAUAGUCCCACAAGGUCCUACCCUUUUAGUUUCGGAUGUUGUAUCCGAUUCCAAAAACAGAGUUUAGAGAACACUUAGAAGUGCUUUUUUUUUUCCUUCAAUACCCAAACAUAUCGUGCCCCAGGAAACAUCUAUUAGGAAAUUGUGUAUAAUAGCCACGUCCUAUAUGUUUUGUCAUAGCCACUUUGUGACGGAAAUGUCCUCAGGCUCGUGGAUUUUCCCCAGAGUUUUGUACAAAACUAUGUCAACACCUAACCCAAGGAUUCUUGAAUCCUAGUAGUGACAACUUACACUCACGCAAUGAGUGGGAACUCGCUCAAAUUUCUCUUGGACACAAGACCUUGGGUAGAUUACUCUACACUUUUUGUCCCCUUCCUAGUUUAUUGCUCCUUCUGAACAGCCUUGCCAACAUUACUACUCUGUUACCUCCCAGAAAUCCAGAUUUUUUGGGAUAUUAAUGUUGCAACUUUUCAGAUAUAGGCUAUAUUCAAACAUCGCGUCCACUUGUCAAUCAAUUGUCGAACUAGGAGUCCAAGUAAGCUUAGUUCACCCGUGUAAUGGACACGAGGAGCAGAGUCAUUGACUCAAGCGCAACAGGAAACCAAUAUGGGAGGUACAGACCAUUAGUGAGAGACAUCAUUGGUGAGUUGUGGAACAGCCGAGGAACCAUAUAGUUUUGAGGUUGAACUAUCAGUGAGGACCACAAAAUCUGACACAAGACUGAUCACACCACUUAAUGACUUAUUCACUGUGUGGAUGAAGUUGAGCUUUUAUCAACUAAAUCUUCAUUGAUGUAGACCUAAUCGAUUUUUUGGUGUUAAAAAUUUGAAUUGGUUGUGAAUCCUUAUUUUGUCCACUAGGCAACAACUCAAAACUACACCGAUUGAAAUGGACUAGUUGUGGAAUAUAAAUACCAAAGGCACAGAAAACAAAAAAAUAUUCCAAUUAUUUGAUCGAAUGGGAUGGUCUCAUACAACUUUUGUCAGAGGAUCUAGCUGGGAUCAUUUGUGUAUCACUUCCAACUGGAUCGUGGUGUUCUUAACAUUGGAAAACCACCCGAUGAUUUUGUUGUUUAGUUCAUUAUAUAUAGUUUUAUUUUUUCUAUUUCCUCUUUAUUUCCAUAUUCUGUUAAACUACCCUAUUUUGGUAUAGUGGCUACAUCCAUUUUGGUAGAAUUACAUUGAUUGCAGUUCAGGAGGGACAAAAACUCAGGCAUGACUGACAGAAGUCCGAACGGUCCGUACGCAAUGUGAACCUGUCGGACCUAGGCGUAGACAUUUAGUGGCUGGCAGUUGCACUAGUUGCUGGAUGUUAUGCCACAGGUGACCUCGUUCCUUUUAUUAUUUAGUUUCUCGUUUUUGCAUUGAGCACACUGCCCAUUCAAGUUGGGGGAUGAGAUUAGUUUUUUAUAGCAUAUUUCUUGUUUGAGUAGUUUAUUAGUAAGGUAUUAAUUUUUUUUUUUUUAAAAAAAUAUUAGUCAAAUUUUUACUUAAUCAGUGGGUAAGGAUAUAUUGAGUCUAGAUGCUCAUGUGAAUUUACAAAAUCCGGUUUUGAUACUUAAAUUUACUUUUCAUGCUUGUAAAAUGGACCAUUUUUACUAACUCUAGUAUAAGCCAAUAAACAAAGUUGUGAACUACUAUUUAUUCAUGAAUCUUGACAAGUAUCCAGUUUUUGAGAGCAUACACUUUGGCCUCUCUUUUCUGUUGUGAGAACAUCAUAUUCUUAUUAAGGCAUAACAGUUAUAUUGGGUUCAAAUAUAUUUAUUUCCGUGAUUUAGGGCAUUAAAUGAUGAUACAAGACAUUCUUUCAUUAUCAGAUCACAUAUUUUGAGUCUAACUCCUUUGGUGCACCAUAAUUGAGCACUAUACACUUGAUAAAACUUUCAUCUCAAGCCUACUGUUAACUGGAGUUGAGGGAGGAUGAAUGGUGACUGAUAAAUGGGUUCAGAUUAAGAAUUUAUUUAAACAGAUGCAUUAAAGUACACUGUGUUCGGAAAAAAAAAACUACUAUGAAGUCGAUUCAAAUGAAGCACAGUAUCAUGUACACUGCCCCCUUCAAUUCCCACUCUUGUUAAGAAGUUAGGAAUAGAAAAAGUAAAAUAUGAAGAGAAAAGAGAACGACAUGAUUAUAGGACGAUGAUUUGGAAUGGUCCCCCACGACCUAUGGUUUAAAUAGUAGUUAGUAGUUUAGUAUUAACAUUGGGUCGAAUAACAAAAAUUGGGUAGAAUCCAAACCACGUCCAUACGCUGUCAUCCUUUUUGGUCUAACCCGUUUUUGAUACCAAGGUCAAAAAAGCUAAAAGUCCAUGUUAACUAUAUAUUGCCAUUGGGAAUGAAUUAAAUUAAAAAGUUUCCUUUAUAACUGCUUAUGCUAUAAUUUUGUAUGUUCUCUUCUGUGGGAUUUGUCCUAUAUUUGUAAAAAAAAAUAAUAAUUUUAUUUUGAGUAAACACACCCACGUGAGGCUUAGAGUUAAAAUUCAAAUUUAAUCUAGAUAGAAUGAAUAAAGGUUUGCUUGACUAGUGAAGAGGUUACAUUUGCUUGGGUAUAAGUUAAAUUCGUCCUAUAAAUAGAAAUCAUAAAAUUUUGCAUCUGUCAUGUGUACUUAAAAUUUUUGAGUGCAUGCUUGUUGUUUAUUAAAUCUCAAUCCCUGAUUGGUUAGAACUUUCAAAAUCUAUCCUAGUUGCUAAGGGACUAUCAAAACUUAGUUGGGGGUAUGCAUAAAUACAGACAAGUAACAUUUUAUAGUCGAUUUUCCCCAUAUCUUAGCAUCUUUUAUAUUUAAUUAUUAAAAUUAAUUGAUAUUUUUGCACAAGAGGUGUACAAAUAUUUUUUUUUUUUUUGCAAGUAAAAGAGCAUUUAGGAGAAAAAGAAGUCAAACCGCCUUAACCCCGAUCGGUCCCCAGACAAUUCCAACCAGUUCAGAAAAAGAUUAGAAGCCAAACUUGCCUUGUCCUGACCGUCCAGAAUUCCGACCGGUCGGGAGGUAGAUCAGUGGUCAAAAAUUGCUGAAUAUGACCUCAAGGUCAUUCUUCAAGCAACCAGCACUGACAACUUUUUAAGAUUACUAUUUGUCAUGAUGAUGCCCAUGUGGGCCAUAACCAACAAGUCAAACAAAUGGCUUCCCUUCUUCUCUCUUCUCAUGCUCUCUCUCCCAUAUAUUAUAUAUAUAUAUAUAUAUAUAGAUUAGAUAUAGAUAUGAUAUAUUUUUUUUUUUAUUAUAUUGUAUACAUAUGUAUGUAUUUAUUUAUCUUUCUUUAUAAAUAGGAGGAGGUUUUAUUAUUUCAAGGGCGUUUUUUUGGUUAGGUUUUUUUGAGUCUCAAGUUUAUUUUUAGGAGCUCUCUCUCUCUAGUUUUUAAUUUAAGUUUUAAUUAAUUAGAUUAUCUAGUUUAAAGUUCAAACACUUGUAUUUUAAUUUUGUCAAUUCAAUAUUUUUUUGUUAUUUCAAUUACUUAAUUUCAAUUGUCCGCCUGGAUGGCUGGGUUUAUCGCUUACUUUAUGCUUAUUUUAACUUAUUGUCCAGUAAUUCAAUUUACAAACUUUUACAAAAACAAAACAUGUUUUAAUUUUAAAUCAAUAUGAUAGGCUGAAUAGUAUGGGUUUGGUCUAAAUACAAAGUUUUAAUUCAAUCUUGAUACAACUAUUCUUUCUUCUCUUUGCACCGACUUCAAAGGUUUAUUUUAAAUUGAUCAAUAUUACACAAAGCUCAAAACUUGAAUUGUAUAAUCUAAGAUUAUGUUUAUACAAGAUCCCUUGUUAUAACUAAAACUUAGAUCAAUUGCAUUCUAAGAGUUUGAAACUGUAUUAAAAUUUUGUCACUUUUCAAACAUAAUUUUAGAUACAAGUAAUGUCAUUGCAAAACUUUCCAUCAAAUCAUUUUACCUUGAAAAUUGAUUGAGUAAAAAGAGGAGGAAAUACUAGAAAUCUAUGAAAGAAUAAAAAUCAAGUAUUUAGAUCUGCCAUUUCUUACAUUUAUAGCUUACUUUUUCAUUUCACAAAUUCAUCUAAAAUCACAAACAUACAUUUUACAUUUUAUUUCAUACUUACAACAACAAAAUACUCAAUCUGCAAACUAGCUCUCUGUGGAUACGAUCUCUAAGUUCCGAGUAUUAUGCUGCACGGUAGUUCCACGCUUGGGAAUAAUUAAGAUAGAUAAAACAUACACCAAAAGUGACAAGCAAUACACUUGCCAACCUAUACUAAGGAAAUCCAUUCGCCUUCAUGGGAACCCUAUUUCUCUCAUAUCAGAUCGCGACCCGGAUUUGUUUCACAGUUUUGGAAAAGUUUGGCCAGUGGCUAUAGGAACUCAAUUUAAUUUUAGUGCUGCUUUUCACCCUCAGACCGACUGACAAUCGAAGAGAGUGAUUCGAUACUGGAAGUUUGUUACGGAUAUGCAUGUUAGACUUCAAAGGAGGUUGGGAAAGCAUUUACCGUUAGUAAGAAUUUACUUCCCACAACAGUUAUCGCGAGCAUUCAGAUGACCCCAUUUGAAGUAAUGUAUGAAGAAAUGGUCGAUCCCCUAUUUGUUGGACCUAAGUUGGGGAUGGAAACUCCUAAGUGGGUGUCCUCAAAUUUUAACAAAAACACAGAAAGAUUGCUUUGAUACAACAAUUGAUUCGUACCACGCCAGAGUCGAAAAGAGCUAUGCCGGACAAGCGUAGAAAAGAUUUAGAAUUCUUCGCCGGGAGAUCACAUAUUUUUGAAGGUAUCCCCAGCAAAGGGUAUCAUCGUUUUGGAAUGAAGGAAAACUAAUCCACGUUUUAUUGGACCGUUUGAAUUCCUGGAUAAGGUGGUCCCAGUUUGCCUAUCGCCUUGCCCGCCACCGGAAUUGAAAAUGUUCCAAUGUUUUUAACAUUUCGAUGUUGAAAAAAGUAUGUCUUCGACCCAAGCCACUUAUUGAAUACCAACCCUUGAAAUACUAGAAGAUUUGGUCGUAUGUCGAGCAUCGAUUCAAAUUUUAGACACACGAUUAAGUACUUCGGAACAAGUUAUUCCGCUUGUGCGAGUUUUAUGGCGGAAUCACAAAAUGGCAGAGUCGACAUGGGAGAGAGAAGCAAAAUGCGAACGUGCAUCAUUUUCUCUUCGAAUGUAAUGUAAAUAACAAGUUUGAGGACAACUUUUUUUAAGAGGGAAGAUGUAAUAUCCCGACUCUUAAUUACCUAUAUUUUAUUUCAUAAAUAAAAACUUUGUAAAUUUAAUUUUAAAGGCAUUUAUUCGUUAUGGGGUUAAAUAAAGUUAGGAACCUUUGGUUAAAUUAAAGAGAACUUUAAAUAAAGAAUUCUUUAAAAAGUUGGAGGGGCUAAAGUGGGCAAUUUUUAUAAUGAAACUGCAGAAAUCCGUAAUGCUCGACCGAAUAAAGAAAAGACAAAAGAAUAACUAGACAGGAAAAAGAAUGUGAUGUGAUGUUAUAAUGAUUUUGUUUGGGAAAGAUUUGCUGGGUGUUUAUAUGUGUGUAAAUAAGGAGAGAAGGGAAAGACUGAGAAAGAGGGAGAGAGGAACGAGAGAUAAAGAGAAGGGAGACAGAAGAGAUAAAUCAGCCAAGGGAAGAGGAAGAGAAAAUUUAUUGAGGUAAAUUCAAAUCUUUCUCCACUUUCUUGCUAAAUUCUGAUAUGUUGAAUCUAUUAUUGUAACUCAUGUUUAGUGUAAAUAAUCUGUCAAGAUAUUCCAAAAUUUUUCAUUUGAAAUCUUUUCUGAAUUAAAUUCGUAUGCAUUGAAAUACGAUUUUUUUACGCACCGCCACGUAGUAUUUUUGGACCAACUCCUCUACGAUAUCCGUUUGAGGUGAUUCAAGUUUCCUAUGAAAGAGACUUUAAAUAUCUACAAGUUUUUCAUGAAAUAAGAUAUUUCCAGUUUUAAGUUUUAAAGGUCGAAAACAGACUUGGAAAUAAGAGUAGAAAACUGAAUUAAGUUAUAUUUUAUUUCGAACCCGCGAAGGCCGAGCCGUAGGGCAAUGUUAGGCGUUCCUCACCUCUAUUUUAGCCAUAAUUUCUUCAUACAAAAACAUUUUUAGUUGAUUCAAGUGUUAGAGAAUCAACUAUUUUAAAUCCUACAAGUUUAUGUGAAAUAAUGAUUUUGAAAUUCGAAGUUGAAAUGGCUCAAAAUAGACUGGAAAUUCGAGAGGAAAACUGAGUUACGUAGUUGUUUAUUCCAAACCCACUGUCGGUAUUUUAUCAUAACUUCUUCAUACGAAAAUAUUUUUAGUUGAUUCAAGUGUCUGAGAAUAGCUAUUUUAAAUACCUACAAGUUUAUGUGAAAUAUUUUUCAAUUCGCAAUUUAAAAUGGGCCCAAACCAGACUUGGCAUAUUCGAACAGAAAACUGAAUUCUUGAUUUUUCAGUUCAGCGAGUUGAAAAAUUUUCAACUAGUUUAGACUUUACAAAAAUUAAUUUUAAAUAACCAAACAGCUAUGAUUAGCCUAGUAAUUAAAAAAAUAAAUGAAUAAAUUUAGUUACAUUAUAAAUAUUUAAGUAAAAAUAUUAAUCGUAAUUAUGUCAACAAAUGAAAUGUAUAGGAUUCGAUCCGACUAGCCUAAGGAACACGACGAACGAGAUUAACACAAUUUUCAAGCAAGCAAUGUAAGUAACAUUAAUCUCUAAAGUAGAGUAAAUUACUUUUAUGCUAUGAUAUAUGUACGAAAUUAUGUUAUGUUACGCAAAUCAAAUCCAUGACUUAGAUGAGAAUGUUUUGAAAAGAUUUUUGUAUGUAUAUGCCUAUGUACCAUCAUGUUUCUACCUUUCGAGAAGGUACUCGGCCGGCAUGCCCCAACUCAAGGGGGUGUGGAAAUCACGUUAUCAAACCCGACUAAGGACGGGAGGUCAUAGUGCAUAAUGUAUGUUUCAAGAAUUAUGUUGACUCGGG